GGGCUCCUCCUCCCACAGAGUCUUGGCUAAGGUCAAACACAGGCUGCAGGCCCUGGAAAUGAGCUCCUUGAAGACUGCAGGGAGGGGGGCUCCUAACCCACGUAUACAGAGAAGAUUGACUCUUAAAUGGGACCACAAGUUAAACCCAGGGUGACAGCAGUGUGUGAUACAGUUGGAAUCCUGGAAGCAAUCCUGAAACUGCCUCUGACAGUUGAGAAGAUAGAAUUCUAUCCCUCUUCUGAGUAAUUUCUUCUGCAGUCUCUCUGUUGGGAGCCAGUCUUGCUGAACAUUGAAAUACUGCUCAGCCCAUUCUGCAUCGUGGACCAUCUAGGCUUCCGGAAACUUUCCAAGCUGAAAACAUUCCAGACAUUCCUUAACACAACGGUCCUCAAAAGGCUGGUUUCUUCGGAUCCCGCAGGAACACUGGCUGCAUGGUUGUAGUCCCCGCUGCACAAGCCCUGCCUUAGCAGACACCGGGCUGGGGCUGCCUCCCCUCUCCUCUCAAAGGCUUGCUGUGCUCGGCCGGGAGUUUGUCCAGCUCGCGCUGAGCGGGGCGCCUGAGGACACUGGGACCCUCGGUAAGGAAGCCUCCGUCCACCAGGCUGAGCUUGCAGCAGCACAGUGAAGCUACACAAGAGAGAAGCAGAGGCAGAGAGAGAGAGAGAAAGAGAAAGAAGAGGACUUCCAUCUGCUGGUUCACUCCCCAGAUAGCUGCAACGGCUGGAGCUAGGCCAAUCCGAAGCCAGGAACUAGGAGCUUCUUCCAGGUCUCCCAUGGAGCAGCUGGGACUUGAACCUGCGCCCAUAUGGAUUCCAGUGCUGCAGGCAGAAUAAGUUUAGCCCACUGUGCCACAGCACUGGCCCUGAUGUUAAUUCUGUCUAUCUGUAUCUCUCUAUGCCUCUCAAAUAAAUAAAAAUGUCACAUAAAUAAAAUUUUA